rfam:Ciona savignyi cont_31206, whole genome shotgun sequence.
UCCUACAUGGUUUAGUGGUUAGGAUUCCUGGCCUUCACCCAGGCGGCCCGGGUUCGAUUCCGGGUGUAGGCA